GGGGAAUCUUGCACAAUGGGGGAAACCCUGAUGCAGCGACGCCGCGUGAACGAUGAAGCCCUUCGGGGUGUAAAGUUCUUUCGACGGGGACGAUAAUGACGGUACCCGGAGAAGAAGCUGCGGCUAACUACGUGCCAGCAGCCGCGGUAAUACGUAGGCAGCAAGCGUUGUUCGGAAUUACUGGGCGUAAAGAGUGCGUAGGCGGUUGGCUAAGUUUGGUGUGAAAUCUCCCGGCUCAACUGGGAGGGUGCGCCGAAAACUGGUCGGCUAGAGUGUGGGAGAGGUAAGUGGAAUUCCUGGUGUAGCGGUGAAAUGCGUAGAUAUCAGGAGGAACACCUGCGGUGUAGACGGCUUACUGGACCAUGACUGACGCUGAGGCACGAAAGCGUGGGGAGCAAAC
rnacentral:rRNA from 1 species